rnacentral:tRNA from 1 species
GCCGUGGUUCAGUGAUAGAACAUCUGCUUGGCAUGCAGAAAGUCCUAGGUUCAAUCCCUAGCAUCUUCA